rnacentral:rRNA from 1 species
GCUUGGGAACAUGCCUUGAGGUGGGGGACAACAGUUGGAAACGACUGCUAAUACCGCAUAAUGUCUACGGACCAAAGGGGGCUUCGGCUCUCGCCUUUAGAUUGGCCCAAGUGGGAUUAGCUAGUUGGUGAGGUAAUGGCUCACCAAGGCGACGAUCCCUAGCUGGUUUGAGAGGAUGAUCAGCCACACUGGGACUGAGACACGGCCCAGACUCCUACGGGAGGCAGCAGUGGGGAAUAUUGCACAAUGGGCGCAAGCCUGAUGCAGCCAUGCCGCGUGUGUGAAGAAGGCCUUCGGGUUGUAAAGCACUUUCAGUCAGGAGGAAAGCGUGGUGGUUAAUACCCAUCAUGUGUGACGUUACUGACAGAAGAAGCACCGGCUAACUCCGUGCCAGCAGCCGCGGUAAUACGGAGGGUGCGAGCGUUAAUCGGAAUUACUGGGCGUAAAGCGUACGCAGGCGGUUUGUUAAGCGAGAUGUGAAAGCCCCGGGCUCAACCUGGGAACUGCAUUUCGAACUGGCAAACUAGAGUGUGAUA